rnacentral:rRNA from 1 species
GACGAACCGUCCAAACGUUAUUCGGAAUCACUGGGCUUAAAGGGUGCGUAGGCGGUCUGUUAAGUUGGGUGUGAAAGCCCUCGGCUCAACCGAGGAAUAGCGCCCAAAACUAGCGGACUUGAGCAAGGCAGAGGUGAACGGAACUAAGGGUGGAGCGGUGAAAUGCGUUGAUAUCCUUAGGAACACCAGUAGCGAAAGCGGUUCACUGGGCCUUUUCUGACGCUGAUGCACGAAAGCCAGGGGAGCGAACGGG